rnacentral:rRNA from 1 species
GACGAACCGUGCGAACGUUGUUCGGAAUCACUGGGCUUAAAGGGCGCGUAGGCGGCUUGCCAAGUCGGGGGUGAAAUACUUCAGCUUAACUGAGAAGUGCCUUCGAUACUGGCAGGCUUGAGGGAGGUAGGGGUCUGCGGAACUUCUGGUGGAGCGGUGAAAUGCGUUGAUAUCAGAAGGAACGCCGGUGGCGAAAGCGGCGGACUGGACCUCUUCUGACGCUGAGGCGCGAAAGCUAGGGGAGCAAACGGG